CGCGUAGGCGGGUUACCAAGUCAGGGGUGAAAUCUUUCGGCUCAACCGGAAAACGGCCCCUGAUACUGGUAGUCUUGAGGGAGGUAGGGGCAGGUGGAACUUCCGGUGGAGCGGUGAAAUGUGUUGAUAUCGGAAGGAACGCCGGUGGCGAAAGCGACCUGCUGGAUCUCUUCUGACGCUGAGGCGCGAAAGCUAGGGGAGCGAACG
rnacentral:rRNA from 1 species